GAUGAACGCUAGCUACAGGCUUAACACAUGCAAGUCGAGGGGAAACGAUAUUGGAAGCUUGCUUCCGAUAGGCGUCGACCGGCGCACGGGUGAGUAACGCGUAUCCAACCUGCCCAUCACUUGGGGAUAACCUUGCGAAAGUAAGACUAAUACCCAAUGACGUCUCUAGAAGACAUCUGAAGGAGAUUAAAGAUUUAUCGGUGAUGGAUGGGGAUGCGUCUGAUUAGCUUGUUGGCGGGGUAACGGCCCACCAAGGCGACGAUCAGUAGGGGUUCUGAGAGGAAGGUCCCCCACAUUGGAACUGAGACACGGUCCAAACUCCUACGGGAGGCAGCAGUGAGGAAUAUUGGUCAAUGGACGAGAGUCUGAACCAGCCAAGUAGCGUGCAGGAUGACGGCCCUAUGGGUUGUAAACUGCUUUUAUAAGGGAAUAAAGUGGGAGUCGUGACUCUUUUUGCAUGUACCUUAUGAAUAAGGACCGGCUAAUUCCGUGCCAGCAGCC
rnacentral:rRNA from 1 species